rnacentral:ncRNA from 1 species
AUAGUUUGUCGUAAAAGAGGUGCGGGUCCACAGCAGGGCCUGCUUAAAAGGGAAGUCCGGUAUAUUCCGGCGCGGUCCCGCCACUGUAAAUGCGGAGCGACUCUAUCUAACGCCACUGUUCAAGAAGAAUGGGAAGGCAAAGAGAAGCGUUGAUGCAUGAGCCAGGAAACCUGCCUUUUUUGUUAAAGUUUC